rnacentral:rRNA from 1 species
GACGAACGCUGGCGGCGUGCUUAACACAUGCAAGUCGAACGAUGAAACCUAGCUUGCUAGGUCGAUUAGUGGCGAACGGGUGAGUAACACGUGACUAACCUGCCCCUUUCUCUGGGAUAACGCUCCGAAAGGAGUGCUAAUACCGGAUACUCACACCGAGGCACAUGCCUUGGUGUGGAAAGUUUUUCGGAAAGGGAUGGAGUCGCGGCCUAUCAGCUUGUUGGUGAGGUAACGGCUCACCAAGGCGACGACGGGUAGCCGGCCUGAGAGGGCGACCGGCCACACUGGGACUGAGACACGGCCCAGACUUCUACGGGAGGCAGCAGUGGGGAAUAUUGCACAAUGGGCGCAAGCCUGAUGCAGCGACGCCGCGUGAGGGAUGAAGGUCUUCGGAUUGUAAACCUCUUUCAGUAGGGACGAAGCGAAAGUGACGGUACCUAAAGAAGAAGCACCGGCUAACUACGUGCCAGCAGCCGCGGUAA